UGGGCGGGUCCUACAGUGAAAAUUGUCUGGUUCCUUAAGGGGUUAAUUCUGGGUACACAUUGGCAUAAUUAAUUAUUGGGGACACAGCGGUAUCAUCAAUUCUGGGGGAACAGCAGCAAGGUCACUAGGUGUGAAUCAGGCCUUAGCGCUCACCUUGGACCUUUACCUUUUAUAUGCGGACGCUCACUAAAAAUAGUAGCCCUGAUCUAUAGUCUGUGUGUAUGCGUGUGUGGGGUAUAUAGUGUGAGGCAGGAAAAUGGAUGUGCAAUGUGAAUGUGAGAUAUAUUUCUGUGCUGUAUAUACAUAAAUGCCACAGACAUAGUGCUGUGAUGUUACAAUACUUUUAGAAUGUGAUCAUUAAUAUACUUGCAUUUUCAUCCUGCAGCGUUUCCUGACACAGGGAUAUGAUCAGAUCCGGUCAAAUGCUGAAAAAAGAUUAAUUGUAGUGGCGGUGCAGGAGGAGCUGCGGCAACAAUGCCAAAAAAAGGCACAGCCCUCUUUCAAUUUUAAAGAAAUGGUCUGACCUGAAAAGGAGACAAUUGGAUAGGAUCAUUGAGAUCAAGGAACUGACUUGCCCAGAAGCUCCACUACCCUCUGUUAGGAGGAGAGGAACAGAGGAGGAGGACAGGGGGGAGGAUCAGCAAGAUUAUGGAGAGGAGGAUGCUGGUCCGUCCCAGCAAUCUACCCAAGAGUCACCACCGGAAGUGGGGGGGAAUGUAGAGGUGGUGGCGGAGGAGGAGCCGCACCUCCCCCCCCCCCCCACCAGAAGAGGAGGAAGAGGCAGUUGCAUACUGCCCCCGCCAGGAGGUUAUCUCCGAAUUAGGAGUAAAUAUUAGGUAGAUGGAGCGGCAGCACAGUGCGAGGAUUGAACGCCUAAAGCACAUGAUCAGAGGCCUCGAGAAGGCUCAUAAGAAAAAGGUCCAAAAGCUACUGGACCUGCAAAAGAA